rnacentral:lncRNA from 1 species
AAACAUUUGUAAAUUUAGUUAUUAAAUUUAUAUGCAUUGCAUAUUUAUUUAAUUUAGCAUUCAAGUAUUUUUCAUGAAAUAUUUAUUUAGCAAACCCUGAAAUAUUUAUUACAGUCCCGAUAUAUUAUCUAUGUUCUUAAUAGCCACCCUAUAUCAUGAUUAUUUUUUUAAGCAUACAUACCAUUAUGCAGACAAUAAAAUCCUUCCAUAUCUCAUCCUCAAUCCACUACUCAUCAAUGGUGCUACACUACUCACCAAUCCACUACUCCCACCACCAACGUUAACACCCACUAC